UGAUUUAUUUUUUAAUGUUUAUAUUAUUUGAAUGWWWYAUUCAAAUAAUAUAAAAAAUAAUAUAUAUAUUGACAUGGAUUAAACAAAGAUAUAUAUUAUUCUAUGUUGUAUAAACAAAUUGGCAAAAUAGAGAUGGAAGAUAAAAAUAUGGUCAAAGUAAUAAGAGUCUAUGGUGRAUGCCUAGGAGCUUUAAGGCGAAGAAGGUCGUGGUAAGCUGCGAAAAGCUUGGGGG
rnacentral:misc_RNA from 1 species